CUACCUUGUUGCCUACGAUCGAUAGCGACGAUGUUUAAAUAUUAAGAAGAGCUUGCAUUAUAAAACAGGAAUGUCACCGAGAUGAGACUACCAGGGAAACGUAUUGCAUACACACAUUUUCCCGCACGCCUGGCAGGAUGCGAGCUAAGAAAUCUCUUCAGGGACAGAACCAGUUUGGAGGAGUUCCUACUGCACAACAUACGAGUCCAGAUCACCACCCUCCUUCCACCCCCACCACUAAGGUCCUUGCUCGAUCUCCCUCGAAAACCUGAAUUGUUUCACCGCUCCCAGUCAGCGCGCUACGUGGUCUGAAAUAAAAUGAAAGCGCGCAAGCCACGGAGUUGAAGGAGGUGGCUAAAGAGAGGUCGCAGCGCUGCAGGCAGCCAAGGGACCCCCGCGGGGACCCCCCCUCCCCAACGCGACGGUGUCGGCCCCCUCCGGGCCCGGGGACACACACUCACGCGCGGGCACUUCCAUACUCGCACACUCACACGCGCUCGCUCACUCCCUCCUCCCCGACCCCGCCUCACCUCCUGCUCCGCCGGUCCGGCCCCUUCCCUGCCCCCCUGCGGGACCGGCCUGCGCGCUCCGCGGCCACCACGUAGGAGGAGGCGGCGGCGGCUGCGUCUCGGGCCCCGAGUGAGCGAGCCGCGGGGCUCCGGGGCGCAUCCCAAUCCCCGCAGCGCCGCCGCCGCCUCCUCCUUCCCCUCCUCCCGUCUUCAUUCACCCUUCCUGCCGCCGCGCAGCCGAGCGGUCCCGGCGCAGGGCAGCGCCCGCAGCUCCUCCGCGCUGGGGACGCCGGGCCGGGCCGGGGCGCUCGCGGGCUCCCGGCUCCCCCAGCUCCCGCGGCUCCGGCGGCGGCGGCGGCUGCUCUGGA